rnacentral:rRNA from 1 species
GAUGAACGCUGGCGGCGUGCCUAAUACAUGCAAGUCGAGCGAACGGACGAUAAGCUUGCUUCUCUGAUGUUAGCGGCGGACGGGUGUGUAACACGUGGAUAACCUACUUAUAAUACUGGGAUAACUUCGGGAAACCGGAGCUAAUACCGUAUAAUAUUUUGAACCGCAUGGUUCAAAAGUGAAAGUCGGUCUUGCUGUCACUAAUAGAUGCAUCCCCGCUGCUUUAGCUAGUUGGUAAGGUAACGGCUUACCACGGCGACUAUGCAUAGCCGACCUGAGAGAGUGAUCGGCCACCCUGGAACUGAGACACGGUCAAUACUCCUACGGGAGGCAGCAGUAGGGAAUCUGCCGCAGCGGGCGGAAGCCUGACGGAGCGACGCCGCGUGAGUGAUGAAGGGCUUCGGUGCGUAAAACUCUGUUAUGAGGGAAGAACAUAUUUGUAAGUAACUGUGCACAGCGUGACGGUACCUAAUAAGAAAGCCACGGCUAACUACGUG